GAUGAACGCUAGCGGGAGGCCUAACACAUGCAAGCCGAGCGGGAUUUGUUGGUUAGCUUGCUAACUAACAAUGAGAGCGGCGUACGGGUGCGUAGCACGUGUGCAACCUGCCUUUAUCUGGGGGAUAGCCUUUCGAAAGGAAGAUUAAUACCCCAUAACAUAUUGAUUGGCAUCAGUUAAUAUUGAAAGCUCCGGCGGAUAGAGAUGGGCACGCGUAAGAUUAGCUAGUUGGUGAGGUAACGGCUCACCAAGGCUGCGAUCUUUAGGGGGCCUGAGAGGGUGAUCCCCCACACUGGUACUGAGACACGGACCAGACUCCUACGGGAGGCAGCAGUGAGGAAUAUUGAACGAUGGGUGAGAGCCUGAUCCAGCCAUCCCGCGUGAAGGACUAAGGACCUAUGGUUUGUAAACUUCUUUUAUACAGGGAUAAACCUACUCUCGUGAGGGUAGCUGAAGGUACUGUAUGAAUAAGCACCGGCUAACUCCGUG
rnacentral:rRNA from 1 species